AAUGAACGUAGGCGGCAUGGAUUAGGCAUGCAAGUCGUACGCUACGUGUAGCAAUACAUGUGGAGUGGCGAAAGGGAGAGGAAUACGUGGGAACCUACCUUGGGGCCUGGAAUAGCGGCGGGAAACUGCCGGUAAUGCCAGAUAAUGUCUCCGGACCAAAGGUGUGAUUCCGCCUGGAGAUGGGCCCACGUCCUAUCAGCUAGUUGGUGAGGUAAUGGCGCACCAAGGCGAAGACGGGUAUGGGGUGUGAGAGCAUGCCCCCACUCACUGGGACUGAGACACUGCCCAGACACCUACGGGUGGCUGCAGUGGAGAAUCUUCGGCAAUGAGCGCAAGCUUGACCGAGCGAUGCCGCGUGCGGGAUGAAGGCCUUCGGGUUGUAUACCGCUGUCGUAGGGGAAUAAUGGUAGUAGGGUUCUCCCUACUAUUUGAAUGAUCCUAGGAGGAAGGACGGGCUAAGUUCGUGCCAGCCGCCGCAGUAACAC
rnacentral:rRNA from 1 species